AGGUCAGUAGCUCAGUUGGUAGAGUCCCGGUCUCCAAAACCGGUUGUCGUGGGUUCGAGCCCCUCCUGGCCUG
rnacentral:tRNA from 1 species